UAAGUGAAUAUAAGGGAGCUUGGU
rnacentral:siRNA from 1 species